GGCGGACCUACCAACUGGAAAGAGUGAGCGUUUUACAGCAGAGGAGACGGAUCUCCUCGUGCGGGAGGUGAAGGCCCGUCAGAACCAGAUCUACGGGGACAGCAGACAGGCACCCAAGCUCCCCGAGAGCACAGCUGUCAGGACUGCCGCGGAGCUCCCCAAGGUGCUGAUCCUGCAGCUAGGACCUGUUCAGCGUUUUCUCCCCCACCCACGUUUGUUAAUUGUUUUCACAUGUUUCCUAGAGCUGUGUUCUGCCUCUUAUUUGCAUGUGUGUCCUCUCUACACUCAGAUAACAAUAUAAUAAUAUAAUAUAAUGUAGCCUAGUAUAACAUGUUAAAAUAAAUGCAAUGUGUGGGCUUUGGUUUUCAAUCAAAAAAAUGAUUGAUUGGUCAGAUAAUUUCACAAUUUCAUUUGUCAUUAUUACAAAUUAUGAUGAUCAUUAUUACUGCGAUUAGAUCAUUCUGAUUAAUGACUGACCAUUAAGACGUGUUUCUGAUAAAUAUU